CUUGGCGGCGGGCGGCGGACGGCUGAGUAACGCGUGGGAAUCUGCCCCAAAGUGAGGGAUAACUGCCCGAAAGGGUAGCUAAUACCGCAUAUGGUCUUCGGAUUAAAGCAUUUAUGCGCUUUGGGAGGAGCCCGCGUCGGAUUAGGUAGUUGGUAGGGUAAUGGCCUACCAAGCCGACGAUCCGUAGCUGGUCUGAGAGGAUGAUCAGCCAGACUGGGACUGAGACACGGCCCAG
rnacentral:rRNA from 1 species